rnacentral:tRNA from 1 species
GGGCCCUUAGCUCAGCUGGUUAGAGCACCUCCCUUUUAAGGAGAUUGUCGCCGGUUCGAGUCCGGCAGGGCUCACCA